rnacentral:rRNA from 1 species
UACGUAGGUGGCAAGCGUUGUCCGGAUUUACUGGGCGUAAAGAGCGCGCAGGCGGUCGUUCAAGUCGCGUGUGAAAGCCCCCGGCUCAACUGGGGAGGGUCAUUCGAUACUGAUCGACUCGAAGGCAGGAGAGGGUAGUGGAAUUCCCGGUGUAGUGGUGAAAUGCGUAGAUAUCGGGAGGAACACCGGUGGCGAAGGCGGGUCUCUGGGCCGAUACUGACGCUGAGGAGCGAAAGCGUGGGGAGCGAACAGG